rnacentral:rRNA from 1 species
GAUGAACGCUGGCGGCGUGCCUAAUACAUGCAAGUCGAGCGAACGGACGAGAAGCUUGCUUCUCUGAUGCUAGCGGCGGACGGGUGAGUAACACGUGGAUAACCUACCUAUAAGACUGGGAUAACUUCGGGAAACCGGAGCUAAUACCGGAUAAUAUUUUGAACCGCAUGGUUCAACAGUGAAAGACGGUCUUGCUGUCUCUUAUAGAUGGAUCCGCGCUGCAUUAGCUAGUUGGUAAGGUAACGGCUUACCAAGGCAACGAUGCAUAGCCGACCUGAGAGGGUGAUCGGCCACACUGGAACUGAGACACGGUCCAGACUCCUACGGGAGGCAGCAGUAGGGAAUCUUCCGCAAUGGGCGAAAGCCUGACGGAGCAACGCCGCGUGAGUGAUGAAGGUCUUCGGAUCGUAAAACUCUGUUAUUAGGGAAGAACAUAUGUGUAAGUAACUGUGCACAUCUUGACGGUACCUAAUCAGAAAGCCACGGCUAACUACGUG